GACACCCCCAUUAGCCCUGUCUAGGGCUGAGAGGGCCUGACUAAGCAGCUUCUCUCCUGGCAGUGGAAAGGGGGAACCAAGGACUCUGCUUCUCCUUCGGUUGCUCACACGGACCUGCCAGGAGCCAUUCCAGAUUGGCUGCAGGAAACGUUCCAUACAUAUGUGAGACUCCGUGUUUCUUCCUCCCAGGAAGGGCGAGGGCGGCAGAUGUUUCUCUAGAGAGAAAUCAGUUCCCCUCACCCCCAUCCUGCAGUCAGAAUAGCAAUGCAAGGGGACUAACGUUUGUGGGGUUCCUACUACGCACCACGUUCUACUACAGCGUCAGCUUUCCGCGUUACGAUGUCAUUGUCAUGGCAACAAUGCAGGAUGGGUGUUUUUCGCAGAGGAAGCCUCUGAGGUUUGGAGAGUUGAGCUCCGUAGCUAAGGCCAUACAACCAAUAUGUAUCAGAACUGGAAUUUGAACCUGGCUCUCCAACAUUCUACAACUCGUGUUCUCUCGAAUACAGCCUUUGGCUCUGUUCAAAAUAGUCCUCUGGGCUCUGUGCCUAAAGCAAUAGAAGAUGUAGACCAAGGACAUCAGACUUGGGACAGAAAUAUUCCGGGACAUUUUUGUGGCUGAAAGCUCUGGACCUAGGGGGAGAAAGCCUUCAGACAAAUCUGGUAAGACAAGGGCCUGGGCAGACAUCUCCUCUGUUCAUUCAACCCAUCGGGAAGGGUGCUCCAGGCAGAAGGUACAGCAUGUGCCCAGGCCUGGAGACCCGAGAGCGGAAGUGUGUUCACUGCUGUUAGAGCAGAGCAAGCAAAUGAGGAAUCGGUAGGAGGUGUGGCCAGGGGGCUGGGCUGGAUUCCUGGACCCUUACCGUCAUACUCUUUCUGGAGUAGACUCUGCCCUGAAUCAGGCCAUUCUCCUGGGUGCCCUGGAAAACGAUCCGGUGACCAUGCUCUCCAGAGUGUGUCUGAUGGUAAUGAGGCUCAGCCCGGAGACCAUCCGAGUGGGUGACAGACUCCCAAAUAUCAGAGGCUGGCAUACUUCCUCUACAAGCCAGUGGGUACACAGUAUCGAAGAGAAGGGAAAAAAUAAUCGUAGCAGUGUCUGAAGAACGUAGACACGGUGUCUUGCUCUCUUGUAAUGUAUGUUUCAAGCAGCAUAAGGAGUAAAAAAGUCAGAUUCACAUGUCUCCUGCUGCUCGUGCAAAGAAAAGGAGCGGAAGUUACAAGGCAGCCGUUUCACCCAUAAGAUGUGUGAUGUUGGAAGUCGUAAUAAAAAAUAAAUAUUUGGUCUCCGGGCCCUUUUCUGGCACAGGGCUUCUAAAACCUUAGGAAUUUCCAGGGAGGAAGGUGAUAUAGGUGUCAUUUGUUACGUUAACGAGGUGACCUUUGGAACCACCUAAGGAUGGGGCUGGUUGCCAGGAGAACUAACCAUGCGAUGAGAAGGUUGGAGUUUUCAGUCCCUCCCUCAACUGCCUGUGAGAGGAGGAGGCUGGAGGUUGAAUCAAUGGCCAAUGGCCAAUGCUUUAAUCCAUUGUGACCAUAAUGAAGCCUCGGUGAAAAUCCCAAAGGACUGGGUGUGGCAUGCUUCCUGAUUGGUGGACAGCUUUCAGAGAGCUUCCUGAUUGGUGGAGACAAUAUUCACAGUGCUUCCUGAUUGGUAGACAGGGUUCGAGCGCUUCCUGAUUGGCUGACAGGCGGAGAUUCGGGAAGAGUGGGCUCUCAGAGACCGUGGAAGCUCCACCCCAUGUCCCCACACCUUGCCCUAUGCAUCUCUUCCACUGGCUAUUCCUGAAUUAUAUCCUUUUAUAACAAACUUGUAAUCUGCAUGGCCAAAUGUCAGUGCCAAGUCAUUCAACGCGCAUUACCAACUUCUUCCUGUGUGCCAGGAACUGGUCCUGCCCCGGAGGACAAGCAGUGAACCCUGUAGACACAGCCUCUCACUGAGCUUGAUCUGGAGGGGGUCCACCCUCCCCCUCUCGCCUGCUGCCCCCAGGGCUGAGCCUCCAGUGUCCAGGUUUGAAGGUGGGUCACCUUGGCCACAGAUUUUACACGUUUCUCUCUCCCUGGCAAAUGGGGGUGUCGGGGGGGGGUGUGUGGCAGGGACCUGAAUCAUAGCUCCCACACCAAGAGUUGUUUUAUUAUUAUUAUUAUUAUUAUUAUUAUUAUUAUUUUAAUCUAAGAACUAGUUGUGAUUAAUAGCAGCCUGAGCUUCUGAGGUUCCUGGUGCAGAAAUAAGGUCACGGUGAAGAUAUGGCCGUUUUGAAACCCUGGUGAACUUCAAGGACCAGCGCAGGGUGGUAAUCACUCCGGUUUUGGCUCAUCUUCCCUCCCUGUGGCCUGUGACUUCAAGGCCCGGGGCUGUCCCUACCUUUCAGACUUCCUCUCAUGCAAAUUGGCCCAGGCAGGGGUGUGUGGGGUUGGGGGGUGGGGUGCUGGCAAAAGAGAGGAGAGAGCAGAGGGAAGUAAUAAACUCCAGCCUCCCCAGACCUACUUUCUGUCUCACAGGCAGACCUCUCAGGGGUCCACCCGAGCCCCAAAACGGCCUCAGCAAGGGCCUGCUUGCUUCCACUGAAGUCCCAAACCUGGAUGGGCACAUCCCAUCCAUCCCUCUCUCAAGAAAUAAAUGCAUCCAUCCCAUUCAGAGAAAGAUCACAGCUCUGAGGGGCUUACGGGUUUUCCUGCAAUCCGGUCCUCUCGUCAUCCCACAUCUGUAGAGUCUCGAAACUGCCUCUUCCUGACGAGUGGGGCUGCGAGAGUAAGGGCCUAACUGAGCUAACAGGCACAGAGACCGGCGAUCAUGGAGCCUUUGGGAGAGGGGGCUCGAGGGAGCCCUCCCAAAACAGGUCCCCUUCCCAGCCAGCCCCCACCGAGGACAUGGCAGCAAGAAUCAUCCCGACGGAGGAGUUUGCGUGCUGACCCAAAGGGUGCAGGGGAUUUUCCCUUUGCUGGCUUCAGUUUAGUGGGACACAUUUCUCGAGAGCCCAAGGCACCACGGUUGCCCUUGCAGGAAGGAGAAGUGGACAAGGACACAGAGGAGAGCAGGCCAAGAGCCGGCAGUCCCGCCUCUGUACUGAGUCUGUGAGACCUUGAGGCCUUCAACCUCUGGGCUUGGGGCCUCAGUUUCCCCAUCUGCAAGCAAGGGUGCUGGACUACACCAACUGUCCGGUCCUUUAUUUCAUCGGCACGCCAGUAAGGAGAGAUCUGGUCCUGGCCCCAUCCUUGCCUUAGGCAGGACUGACUUGUUCCCAAUAAAAAAAUCUCAAAUCCAGA